CGGUGAAUACGUUCCCGGGUCUUGUACACACCGCCCGUCACGUCAUGAAAGUUAUCAACACCCGAAGUGCUCGCUUUGCCGGGCCCUAAGGUGGGGGUAGUAAUUGGGACG
rnacentral:rRNA from 1 species